UGACUAACUUUGGAGGUUACAAAGCAGAUAUGAGUAUUAAGUUCUUGAAGGUCAAUUAACAUGCUUAAUGCAAAAAAAAAGUUUUCUUGUCAUUAGAGAGAGAAGAAUAGAUUGAGUGACUAUUGAUCUUAGUCAGUUUGACAUUUAUUGCUUUUGGCAUUUUUCUCAGCUCAACAGCAAUGGCUGCGUCACCCAACAAGUACACACCAAAAUGCUCCAGAUUAAAAAUAUGGGCUUUGAAAUGAAGCUUAGAGUGGAAGCCAGGAUCAGAGAAGAGGGAACAGACCUGGUAGUCACUGCAAACGGGAUCAGUGAAAUCACAAACAUUGCAUCCAAACUCAUAUUUGUGAAAGUGGAUUCACACUUUAGACAAGGAAUCCCCUUUUUUGGACAGGUGCUUCUGGUGGAUGGGAAAGGUGUGCCCAUCCCCAAUAAACUCAUCUUCAUCUCUGCGAGCGAAGCCAAUUAUUUCUCCAAUGCGACCACCAAUGAACAGGGUCUUGCACAGUUUUCAAUCAAUACUACCCAUAUCUUGGCUAAUAAACUUUUUGUCCAGGUUUACACUGUGCAUCCUAACUUGUGUUUUCACUAUUCAUGGGUAACAGAAGACCACCAGGGCGCUCAGCACACUGCAAAUCAUGUUUUCUCCUUAAGUGGGAGUUACAUUCACCUGGAGCCUGUGGCUGGUACCCUGCCCUGUGGCCACACACAGCGUAUCAGGGCACACUAUAUACUGAAUAUUCAGGCUGUGGGAGAGCUAUCGGAGCUCAGUUUCCAUUACCUGGUAAGAAUGAGGCCAUGGAAUACAAUUGCAGCUUAUCAGUAGGACAAAAGUGGUCAAUAG
rnacentral:lncRNA from 1 species